rnacentral:rRNA from 1 species
UUAAGCAUAUCAAUAAGCGGAGGAAAAGAAACUAACAAGGAUUCCCCUAGUAACUGCGAGUGAAGCGGGAAAAGCUCAAAUUUGAAAUCUGGCGGUCUUUGGCCGUCCGAGUUGUAAUCUAGAGAAGUGUUACCCGCGCUGGACCGUGUACAAGUCUCCUGGAAUGGAGCGUCAUAGAGGGUGAGAAUCCCGUCUCUGACACGGACUACCAGGGCUUUGUGGUAUGCUCUCAAAGAGUCGAGUUGUUUGGGAAUGCAGCUCAAAAUGGGUGGUAAAUUCCAUCUAAAGCUAAAUAUUGGCGAGAGACCGAUAGCGAACAAGUACCGUGAGGGAAAGAUGAAAAGAACUUUGGAAAGAGAGUUAAACAGUACGUGAAAUUGCUGAAAGGGAAACGCUUGAAGUCAGUCGCGUUGGCCGGGGAUCAGCCUCACAUUUUUGUGUGGUGUACUUUCUGGUUGACGGGUCAGCAUCAAUUUUGACUGCUGGAAAAAGGCUUGAGGAAUGUGGCAGCUUCGGCUGUGUUAUAGUCUCUUGUCAUAUACAGUGGUUGGGAUUGAGGUACUCAGCACGCCGAAAGGCCGGGGUUAAACCACGUUCGUGCUUAGGAUGCUGGCAUAAUGGCUUUAAGCGACCCGUCUUGAAACACGGACCAAGGAGUCUAACAUGCCUGCGAGUGUUUGGGUGGUAAACCCGAGCGCGUAAUGAAAGUGAAAGUUGAGAUCCCUGUCGCGGGGAGCAUCGACGCCCGGACCAGAACUUUUGGGACGGAUCCGCGGUAGAGCAUGUAUGUUGGGACCCGAAAGAUGGUGAACUAUGCCUGAAUAGGGUGAAGCCAGAGGAAACUCUGGUGGAGGCUCGUAGCGAUUCUGACGUGCAAAUCGAUCGUCAAAUUUGGGUAUAGGGGCGAAAGAC